rnacentral:rRNA from 1 species
AGAACGAACGCUGGCGGCAGGCCUAACACAUGCAAGUCGAACGCUCCGCAAGGGGAGUGGCAGACGGGUGAGUAACACGUGGGAACAUACCCUUCGGUUCGGAAUAACUCAGGGAAACUUGAGCUAAUACCGGAUACGUCCUGGCGGAGAAAGAUUUAUUGCCGAAGGAUUGGCCCGCGUCCGAUUAGCUAGUUGGUGAGGUAACGGCUCACCAAGGCGACGAUCGGUAGCUGGUCUGAGAGGAUGAUCAGCCACACUGGGACUGAGACACGGCCCAGACUCCUACGGGAGGCAGCAGUGGGGAAUAUUGGACAAUGGGCGCAAGCCUGAUCCAGCCAUGCCGCGUGAGUGAUGAAGGCCCUAGGGUUGUAAAGCUCUUUCGUCAGGGACGAUAAUGACGGUACCUGAAGAGAAGCCCGGCUAACUCGUGCCAGCAGCCGC